rnacentral:rRNA from 1 species
UACGGAGGGUGCAAGCGUUAUCCGGAUUCACUGGGUUUAAAGGGUGCGUAGCGGGUUGGUAAGUCCGUGGUGAAAUCCCCAAGCUUAACUUGGGAACUGCCGUGGAUACUAUCAAUCUUGAAUAUCGUGGAGGUAAGCGGAAUAUGUCAUGUAGCGGUGAAAUGCUUAGAUAUGACAUAGAACACCAAUUGCGUAGGCAGCUUACUACACGAUCAUUGACGCUGAGGCACGAAAGCGUGGGGAGCAAACAGG